AACAUAGAUAUUUGUUACAGGUUAGUGCUGUGAGUCCUCCAGUGCCACCUACUGUGUUCAGAUGUAAACAGUACUUCCAUUGUUAGAAAAUGCCAAAGAAUCUGGUAACGGCGAGACGUAAUUGAUCCUGCCGGCUGGAUGAUAAGUCGAAGGCUUUUAAAGAGCUAGUGCCGUAUGUGGCGUGGUGGUGAGCGCGUUGGAUGGCCGCACCUAUGCCGCAGCAGGGCAGGAUCGACGACCGCCGGAGCAUCGCCAGGUGACCUCGGGGCACUGUCGCCCCGCUUUAUGUCAUAACAAAAGUUGCUGCUGAAGAGGAGUGGACUGCGGGGCGUGAGAUAGCCAGGCCGCGCAGCUGCCACUAGGCCCGCCGCC